rnacentral:rRNA from 1 species
UGGGGGAUAUUGCACAAUGGGCGAAAGCCUGAUGCAGCGACGCCGCGUGGGGGAUGAAGGCUUUCGGGUUGUAAACCUCUUUCGCUAUCGAACAAGGCCCGCUUAGGGUGGGUUGAGGGUAGGUGGAGAAGAAGCGCCGGCUAACUACGUGCCUGCAGCCGCGGUAAUACGUAGGGCGCGAGCGUUGUCCGGAAUUAUUGGGCGUAAAGGGCUUGUAGGCGGCUUGUUGCGCCUGCUGUGAAAACGCGGGGCUUAACUUCGCGCGUGCAGUGGGUACGGGCAGGCUUGAGUGUGGUAGGGGUGACUGGAAUUCCAGGUGUAGCGGUGGAAUGCGCAGAUAUCUGGAGGAACACCGAUGGCGAAGGCAGGUCACUGGGCCAUUACUGACGCUGAGGAGCGAAAGCAUGGGUAGCGAACAGG